rnacentral:rRNA from 1 species
UUUAUUUGAGAGUUUGAUCCUGGCUCAGGAUGAACGCUGGCGGCGUGCCUAACACAUGCAAGUUGAGCGAUUUACUUCGGUAAAGAGCGGCGGACGGGUGAGUAACGCGUGGGUAACCUACCCUGUACACACGGAUAACAUACCGAAAGGUAUGCUAAUACGGGAUAAUAUAUUUGAGAGGCAUCUCUUAAAUAUCAAAGGUGAGCCAGUACAGGAUGGACCCGCGUCUGAUUAGUUAGUUGGUAAGGUAACGGCUUACCAAGGCGACGAUCAGUAGCCGACCUGAGAGGGUGAUCGGCCACAUUGGAACUGAGACACGGUCCAAACUCCUACGGGAGGCAGCAGUGGGGAAUAUUGCACAAUGGGCGAAAGCCUGAUGCAGCAACGCCGCGUGAGUG